GUAGGAUACACCUACAGCCGAGCCAUUGUUUGCUGCAUUGAUUGUUUUGGCCACUGUAGUUUCUAUGACAGGGUAUUAACAGCUAUGCAAUACUUUUUUGUCAUGUACCAUGUAACAUCCCACUGGUCACUUGUAUUUUCUUGGAAUUCACUAACACACCCAAAGGCUCUUACAUAUACCAAGAAAAUACAACUGACUUGUGGGACAUUCCAUGGUAUACCAUUUGAAAGUGUUGCAAAAGUAGUGUUUUAAUGAGAUCUAAGAUGGGAGAGUCUUUUCCUGUGUGCAGUUGCAUUAGAAUAGUACCGGUACUUGUUGAUGUAUCAUGCAAUUUGGUAGUUAAAGGCAGACUUUAUCAGUUGUGGUAUAUUAACAUAUUGCAGCUACUUCUCUCAAAUGCUACAAUUGCCAUGGAGCAAAAAAGGAACCUGAUCAGGAUGCAGGUUGCAGUAAUACCACCAAGAACUGCAGUGGAUCAGAGAAUACAUGCAUGAUACAUCUCACCAGAAACAAGUUAUCUGAACCUCAAGUCUAUCACCUAACUUGCAAAGCUAAAGUUGACUGUGAACGUCUGGGUGUUGGCUGUAUCAAAAAUAAUGAUAAAACUAUCUGCACAAAAUGUUGUUCCACUGAUCUGUGCAAUACUCGUACAACCUAUAGUGCUACCUUAGCUCCACCAACCUCGUCGACAUCAAGGAGGACACAAAUUCUACCAAUCAUAUUUUUCCUGACCACACUGACAGUGUUCUGGUUUUGUGACUAAGAGUUCAGCGUAAUAAUGUUGACUUCUACAAUGUACCAAUCUUUGGGAAGUAAAAAAAAUAUAUAUAAUAAUAGCCUAGUCUGCACUGCCAAUGUAAACCAUACACAAAAAA